rnacentral:lncRNA from 1 species
AGCGGUGCGGCGGCGGGACGAGCGGCGAGCGGUUCUCGGCGAGCUGCGAUCUCCGAGCUCCUGGUUUCCGCGAAGAAGAAAGAAGAACAGAGGGGUUCGGUCGCGUGGGGAAGAAAGAAGAAAGAGGAGAGAGAAGAGAGAGAGAAUGAUAUGCAUUGACCGGUCAAAGAAAAAGAGAGAGAGGGAAUGGGCGGUGGGGAAUUCGCACGAGGGGAAGGGGAGAGAGAGAAAGAAAAAGGGGGAGAGAGAGAAAAAGAAAAACAAAAAUGCAUAAUGUCUUUAUGAAAUUUUCCUUUUCUCUUUUCCUUUUCCUUUCUAUUUUCUUUUGGGUCUUCGAUUCUUCCUCCGAUAAUUUCUUUCUUGAAAUUUCGGACUCGGCAAUAAAUUGAUAGACGAUGAGACGGUCCUAAAAAUGAAUUGUGACACACUCGAAUAUUCGAUUCCCGAAACCAAUUUAAAUUUCAUGGUUAGAAUCAAUCAAACGCGAUUUUAGUCCAAUCCAACCAAUUGAGUAGCUUUUAGGGAUUUUACCGCGGAUACAUCCCUUAACGGCUUCACCCAAUAAGUUAGUUAACUCGUGAGUGAUCAGCUCAGAGAAAAAGGACCAUAGGCACGUUGACGACAUGCCCAUUUUACUUUAUCGAAACGGGGUCGAAUUUCAGGAUGUCACAACUCUUCCCCUCUUAUAAAAAUUUCGUCCUCGAAAUUUAAACCCUUACACUUUGCUCAAAAAGGCGGGGGUACAAUUGUCUCAUCGACUCUUUAGUCUCCCAAGUCGCUCCUUCAAUACUGUGGUGUUGCCAGACCACUUUGACCAACGGAAUGGUCUUUGUACGCAGAACUUGCUCUUUGCGAUCGACAAUCUGAGCCGGGCUUUCCACGU